CUCAGGAUGAACGCUAGCGGGAGGCCUAACACAUGCAAGCCGAGCGGUAGAGAUUCUUCGGAAUCUUGAGAGCGGCGUACGGGUGCGGAACACGUGUGCAACCUACCUUUAUCUGGAGGAUAGCCUUUCGAAAGGAAGAUUAAUACUCCAUAAUAUAUUGAUUGGCAUCAAUUGAUAUUGAAAGCUCCGGCGGAUAGAGAUGGGCACGCGCAAGAUUAGUUAGUUGGUGAGGUAACGGCUCACCAAGACGAUGAUCUUUAGGGGCCUGAGAGGGUGAUCCCCCACACUGGUACUGAGACACGGACCAGACUCCUACGGGAGGCAGCAGUGAGGAAUAUUGGUCAAUGGGUGCAAGCCUGAACCAGCCAUCCCGCGUGAAGGACGACUGCCCUAUGGGUUGUAAACUUCUUUUGUAUAGGGAUAAACCUACCCUCGUGAGGGUAGCUGAAGGUACUAUACGAAUAAGCACCGGCUAACUCCGUG
rnacentral:rRNA from 1 species